rnacentral:rRNA from 1 species
UACGUAGGGGGCAAGCGUUGUCCGGAUUUAUUGGGCGUAAAGAGCGUGUAGGCGCCAGACAGGUCCGUUGUGAAAACUCGAGGCUCAACCUCGAGACGCCGAUGGAAACCGUCUGGCUAGAGUCCGGAAGAGGAGAGUGGAAUUCCUGGUGUAGCGGUGAAAUGCGCAGAUAUCAGGAGGAACACCAGCGGCGAAGGCGGCGCUCGUGGGCCGGAACUGACGCUGAGGAGCGAAAGCGUGGGUAGCAAACAGG